rnacentral:lncRNA from 1 species
GCUACAUAGGAUUAGAACUAGAAGGAGUCAAUCUUCGAUUGGUUUCCGGAUCUGUCAAGAGGAUUUUUGGUAAUUCCUCUACUGUUCUUCAUUUGUUCAUCAUUGUUCUUCAAUAUUAUGAAUACAACUUUGUUCUAUUUCAAUAUAUUGAUUAUGACUUUGCUCUACUCGUUUAUAUUUGCAAUUAUAUCGUUCUUAGUUUAUCAUAGUUAUAUGCUUGGCUUAGUUAGAUUGGAAUUAUAUACAUGUUUAGGAUCGUAUAGUGUUUAUCCAUCGGAUCCAUGGGUAAAUGAUAGAUAUUGUGUAGGCGUGGUGCCUAUACCGUAUUUAUCUGCAAUUGUACCCUAUAUGCCGAAUCGUGGGGUAGUUUGUGCUGGUGACAGCUCCAUUGAUUCUUAUAUAGUCCCUCUCCCGUGUAUAGGGUAGGCAGACCAAGACAAGUGUGGAGAGAAAAGAUAGUUCUACAUGAAGAUGAGGCGCCGCCGGAACCACCGUCUACGCCAUCCAGCGAAUCCCAGGACAACUGAGAACACAAGGAGUCCCGUUCAAAGGACUUAAAAACACCGAACGCCGUGCCAAGAGGUAAACUUGGUAUUUAUCACUUUCCCUUUUGUUAUUUACUUUUUCUUAAAAAGCUUGUUUAAUUAAUCAGGUUCAUACUAUCUUAAAAAGAAAAAAAAGUAAGCCCCAUGUGAGUAUACGAGUGGCAUAAAACCCAUAAGUACAUUCACUGUGGUGGUAUAAAAAUAAAAUAAAUAAUUUUUCCUACUCUAUAAAAUGAAAAUAUAAAAAUCGAGAGUAACACUUAUUGAGGAAGCUCAACAUGAUAAAGGCUAGGUAUUUAUGGUAACACUUAACCUGUUCCACAAAGCUUUGUUGUCUAUUUGAGCUCCACAUAAUUCAAAGAAGACUAGCAGACGGAGGACAUCCUAAUCGCUGUCAUGGUGCUGCCGACAUUCAAAUACACCUGUGCCACCUGUUAGCUACAUCACAAGAAAUUACGUCAAGAUCUAGCAUGGGGGAGAGCACCCCCAUUUAUCCCCCU